GAUGAACGCUAGCUACAGGCUUAACACAUACAAGUCGAGGGGAAACGACAUUGAAGCUUGCUUCGAUGGUCGUCGACCGGCGCACGGGUGAGUAACGCGUAUCCAACCUGCCUCUGACCAAGGGAUAACCCGUCGAAAGUCGGCCUAAUACCUUAUGCAGUCGUCGGAAGUCAUCUGAUGACGACGAAAGAUUUCAUCGGUGAGAGAUGGGGAUGCGUCUGAUUAGCUUGUUGGCGGGGUAACGGCCCACCAAGGCAACGAUCAGUAGGGGUUCUGAGAGGAAGGUCCCCCACAUUGGAACUGAGACACGGUCCAAACUCCUACGGGAGGCAGCAGUGAGGAAUAUUGGUCAAUGGGCGAGAGCCUGAACCAGCCAAGUAGCGUGCAGGAUGACGGCCCUAUGGGUUGUAAACUGCUUUUAUGCGGGGAUAAAGUGAGGGACGUGUCCUUCAUUGCAGGUACCGCAUGAAUAAGAACCGGCUAAUUCCGUG
rnacentral:rRNA from 1 species